UCAAAAGUCAAGUCGGGGGCCGCAAAGCCCUCGUCUACACCCAUGUCUUUUGCGUACUUCUUGUUUCCUCGGUGGCGCAAGCCGCCGAUUGGACAAACCAAAACCUUUUUUGUAAUUGCAAUCAGCGUCUGAAAAUAAUCUAAUUAUUUA
rnacentral:misc_RNA from 1 species